rnacentral:lncRNA from 1 species
GGAAUAUGGCUUGUUUAGUGAAAAGCCACUGUGACAUCACAACACAGACUCCAGCAUAUGUCCUCCUUACAGUAGGUCAGAGCUAGUCUAGGUGCACCAGUCACAGGACACUGAGACUCAGGGUGGCAGAUGUCAAGUCCUUCAUUGUUCAGUUUAAGCUCAGAGAAUUUAAAAAGAACCCACAAUGAUUUCAACACUACAAAAAUGCAUAGACAGAAUGAAAAAAAUCAUCCCCCAAAUCAUCCAAAAACAUCAGGAAAAAAUAUGAAACAAAGAUACAAACUCCAUUGUUUGGUCAGAUCUGGAAAGAGCUCCAAAAUAUUGAUAAGACUUUCAAGAACAACUGCAUUCAUGCAGAGACCAUCUGGAAAGAACUAGAGAAAAGCAGAAGAGAAAGAGCUCCGUUUUGACAGAGCUCAGAAACUAUCAAAAAAUAUAUUUCUUGAUGGUGAAAGGCAAAAACUAAUAUUCAUUUUUUCAAUACUCACUGUGGAAAUAGAUGAACUAGGUGACAGCAGAACUAUCUGGAUCCAGGAUGGUUCAGGAAACAAUGAGAGUGGGUCUCCAUGAAGAAUCAUACGAAACAUCUAUAUUUCUGGAUUUUUUUAAGUUUUUUUUUUUUUUUUUUAACAACUGAACACAAUUAAAAUGGGCUUUUUGAUAGAAAAAAAUAUUUGCUAAAAGUGUCUACAGGAAAAAUAUGUAAUAAGAGAAGAGUGAUUUCCAUAUAAAAAGUAGUAAAAAAUGGGAUGGAAAUGUUCACAAAAAAGCAGCAGGAUAGUUUCACAGAGUAGUGCUACCAAACUAUUAAAGAAUAGAAAAAUUGGCCAGGCGCAGUGGCUCAUGCCUGUAAUCCCAGCGCUUUGGGAGGCUGAGGUGGGUGGAUCACUUGAGGCCAGGAGUUUGAGAUCAGCCUGGGUAACAUGGCAAAACCCAAUCUCUACUAAAAAUACAAACAUUAGCCAGCGUGGUGGCAUGUGCCUGUAAGCCCAGCUACUCAGGAGGCUGAGGGAGGAGAAUGACUUGAACUGGGGAGGCGGAGGUUGCACUGAGCCAAGAUCAUGUCACUGCACUUCAGUGACAGAGCAAGACUGUCUCAAAAAAAAAAAAGAAAAGAGAGAAAGAAAAAUUACAAUGCUGUUGAAUGUGGUUCAGAACACAAGGAAAAGAUUAACAGAAAAUUUUACUUGUUUUAAAAGACAGAAUACAAAACUAUUCCUGAAAUCUGACAUAGAUUGUUGAAGAGAGAGAAAAAUGAUACCAUAGCUCACCAAAUGCAAUAAUACCUCCUUGUAAAUAAUCAAAAUUUAUAAAUAGUCACUAUUAAAAGAUUUCCUAAUAUUAACCACAUUGGUCAUGACUUAAAGAGAAAAAUCAUUACUUUCUUCAUGCAUGCUGAAAAGGCAUUUGAUACAAUCCAACUUUCAUUCAGAAUAAAUACAAUCAAUAAACAUAUAUGAAUUCUUCUUUAAGUUGAUAAAACAUUAUAAACCAGCAUGGUCCCUACUGGAAAAACACUGAAAGGUUUCCCACAUGAAGUCAGGAACAGGCAGCAUUAGGUACCAUCACUGCAAAGCUGUACUUCAUGUUGCAUUAGAAGUGCUAGCUAAUGUAAUCAGGUCAAGAACAAGGUUAGAGAUAUAAAAAAUGUGUUAGGAGCAUAUAAAAUAUCUUUAUUUUCAGAUGAAAUAAUUAUAUCCCUGGAAAAUACAAGAGAGUCAACUCUAAGAAUAAUUCAACAAUUUGUUGGGAUUAAAAAGUAUAUAUAUAAAUCAAUAAUUGUCAUAUUCACACAAGCCAGUUAGAAAAUAUAUUGCAAAGAAGACUCUCCUUAAUUGCAACACAGAAGAUAAAAUACAAAGGAAUUAACAAGAAAUACACAAGAUCUUUUCGAAGAAAGCAUGAACAAAUUGAAUACAUACUAUACCCUUGAGUAGAAAGAAUGUUGUUAUGAUCUCAAACUUCUCUCAGUGACUACUAAAUUAGGCAUGAUUUCAGUUAAAAUACCAAUAGGUGAGUUUCUCUCUUUCUGAAUUGGACAAGGUAUUGUAAAGUUUAUAUUACAAAAUAAAAAGUGUUAUUAUACAUCAGAGUGUACAAUAAAGUUUCAUAAGAGUGUGAUACUGGCACAUGAGCUGAAAUAUCAAUGGACUAGAGUUUAAAGUCGAAGAACAGAAGCAUUUAAACACAAAAUUAGCAUUUGAGAAAAGUGGCUUUUCAAACCACGGGGUGAUGCCUGACUAUUUAUUUAUUUAGAGAUGGAGUUUCACUCUUCUUGCCCAGGCUGGAGUGCAAUGGCAUGAUCUUGGCUCACCGCAACCUCUGCCUCCCGGGUUCAAGCGAUUCUCCUGCCUCAGCCUCCCUAGUAGCUGGGAUUACAGGCACGUGCCACCACGUCUGGCUAAUUUUGUAUUUUUAGUAGAGACGAGGUUUCACCAUGUUGGUCAGGCUGAUCUCGAAUUCCUGACCUCAGGUGAUCUGCCCGCCUGGGCCUCCCAAAGUGCUGGGAUUACAGGCAUAAGCCACCAUACCCGGCCCAGUCUGACCAUUUAAUAAGUGAUCUUAGGACAACUGAGUUGACAUCUAGAAAAAAAAUAAAUGUGGGUCCAUACUUCAUACACUAUGAAAAAUUCCAAUGGAUAAAAGUUUUAAGUGGUAAAACGAAUGAAAAUGGAAACUGUCAAAUUUCUAUAAAAAACGUGGGAUAAUGUGUUUAAACCUCAGGAUGAGGAUGGCCUUCCUAAUGUGAACUCAAAAUUCAGAAGUCAUAAAAAAGCGACAAAAUAAGUGAAAUGAAAAAUAAAGAGAUAAAAAUAAACUUCUGUUUGCCCCACUAUUCCCAGAAGAAAAUAAGCAAAGUAAUGAAAAACAUAUUUAGAAUAUUUUCAACACAUAUCAUAGACACAGAGCCAAUAUUACCAGUAUAUAAAGAGGGCUUAGAAAUUAAUAAUGGAAAGAGUUACAUACCAAUUUUUUAAAAUGGCCAAAAUGUAUAAAUAUACAAAUGACAGAAAAGGAAAUAAAAAUUGCUCUUAAACCUUUGAAAAGAUGUUAAACCUCGCUUGCAAUAAGAACAGUGUGAAUAAAACCAUGCUGAGAUCUAAUUCUUCACUUAUCAUAUUGACGAAAUCCAAAAGGUACAUAUAUUUUGUUGUGAGUUACUGAGAAAGAAGCACUCACUUGUACAACCCUGUGAAGGGCUUGUAGUAUAUGUCAAAAUUUGAAAUGUGUAUGUGUACCCUUUGACCCAGCAAGUCUACCUCUAAAAAUUUAUCCUAUGAUUACACUCAAAUACACAUGAUAUGGCCUAUGUAAAAUAAUUGCAUCAUUGUAAUAGUAAAGGAUUAGGUUUAGCCUGGAUAUCUAUCACAGGGCAUUGACUAAAUGAAUUAUGGUAUAUUUCUACCGUAAAAGAAUAUCCAAUUGUUAAAAAACAAAAAACCACACACACACACACACACACACACAUAGAAGCAAGCUCAGUAUACAUUGAUGUGAAAAGAUAUUAAAAUUUAUUUAAGUGGAAAAAAAAGCAACGUGCAGGACAGCAGGUAUAGUUGCUACUAUUUGUGUAAAAAUGGAAAGAAUGCAUAUUUGUGCUGGUCAGUUUAUGAAUAAAAAUCUCUGGAAUGACAAGACAUAAACAACGGUGAUUACCUGGAUUGAGAGGGAGAUUCUUCAUUGCAUACCUUUUGUACACUUUGAUGUUUAAGCCUUGUUCAAUGGAUGACCUCUUUAAAAAAAAAUCAAAGGGGAGAAACCUAUACACAUAGAAAAAGAAAAGCAAGGCAUAAAAAAUACUGCAGAGAAAUGAAAAGGAAAUUAAGUCACUUUAAACUUAGUAACUCUCUCAAAAAUAAGUUUUAUAUGAUACAAAGUGUAGUAAUGUGCAUAUGAUACAGAAAAAAA